rnacentral:misc_RNA from 1 species
AAAACUUUUGCAUUAUAUAGAAGUUCUCAACUAGAAUCCUUAAUGCAACAAAAAGCUUUAAAAUGUCAAAAAUUGUCUCCAGAAAAACCUCACAAAAAUAAAAACACUAGUAGGAACAAUAAAUUGUUUAAAACUUAUGGUUUAACCCAAACAAAGUGGAUGCUGAAACAUUCAAGCCUUCAGGCGUCCAUAGAAUUUCUGCUUCUCUUGGGUGGUCUGGAAGCGACCAUGUCCAAACUUGGAGGAUGUGUCGAUGAACUUCAGCUUAAUCUCCUCAAGAGCAACACGAGAAGUCUGGUUGAGAAGGGAUUGACGCAGAGUUACAACCCUCUUCUUAGUACCAACACAGCAUCCCUUGAUCAACAGGUAAUCCUCCUUCACCACACCAUAAUGGGGAAAUCCACCAAUAGGUGUAAUGUCUUUCUCAGUCCUGUCAAACUCAGUUAGGGCAGUGUGGGACUCCUGUCCAACCUUGCCGAGCUUGUAAACCUUCUUGUUCAUCUCAGUACGGUGA